rnacentral:rRNA from 1 species
CAUGCCGUAAACGAUGUCAACUAGCCGUUGGGCUCCUUGAGGGCUUAGUGGCGUAGCUAACGCGAUAAGUUGACCGCCUGGGGAGUACGGUCGCAAGACUAAAACUCAAAUGAAUUGACGGGGGCCCGCACAAGCGGUGGAGCAUGUGGUUUAAUUCGAUGCAACGCGAAGAACCUUACCUGGCCUUGACAUGUCUGGAAUCCUGCAGAGAUGCGGGAGUGCCUUCGGGAAUCAGAACACAGGUGC